rnacentral:tRNA from 2 species
GGAGAAGUGGCUGAGCGGCUGAAAGCGCUCCCCUGCUAAGGGAGUAUAGGGUUUAUAGCUCUAUCGAGGGUUCGAAUCCCUCCUUCUCCGCCA